rnacentral:lncRNA from 1 species
UUUGAGCCCUUCUUCCUGCCCUCCUGGCUCCGCUGCCGAGGGUCACGUGGCAGCUGCUCCACCAGGAGGUCUAUGAAUGAGCGCUUGCUCCCAGCUCCCAAGAUGCUUCCAGUCUUUUCCUUCCUGGUUGUGGAUGCAGAGCUGGAAACCGGAAAUUCCCUCUGUUGUAAGUCCCCUUCCCUAGGAGCUGGCCUCACUGGAGCUUGACAAGAGUUCGAGCCGGGAGUUCUGAGAGCAACCUUCAGAUGAGGAUGUAGAACUCUCAGUUCCUCCUGCACCAUGCCUGCCUGGA